UAGAACCGUUGCUCGAAAGUUUUUCAGAGCUAAAAGAAGGGCUGACACAAUUAAUGGUGUAGUCGUGAUGCUGUCUAAUCUCCUUUGUAUGUAUGAUUCUGAAUUCGCAGAUCUGAGCCUCUCCUUCAAAACAAUCACAUUGUUCGCAAGUUUUGACAUCUCUAAAGAAAUCCACGGCUUGAAGGUUCAUUUUUUGGGAGGUGCUUUCACUAAUAGUAAUAGUGUCGAGUCUUAUGUUGAACUCACCACAAAAAUCCCCAUUAAAGAGAUUUUGUGCCAUCAGCUGUAAUUUUUAAGAAGGUGUGAAAAUGAAGGUUGAGAGCUCUCAUAAGUCAUAAAUUCGAAAUGAAACAUCUUUAGGUAUAAAUUGUGUAAAUUUUAAUUAUAUAAAACAAGUGAAUUAGACUUGCAUCCGUAUGUGUCUAUCAGUUAUAAAAGUUGAGAGUGCUGCACCGUUAUCUGUGUGUACAUAUGGAUAAUUAUGAUUUGAGCUUUUCAAUAAUAUGUAUGGAAAUAUUAUUUAUAAUCGAUAACAUUAUUAUAGCUAUAUUCUAUAUAUAGUUUGAAUUUUAAAGGUUAUUGUUAUUUGAAGUGGCAUGGACAAAAGGUAUGUAGAAAUGACAAUGUAAAGUUUAUUUGAUACUAUUAAUUUUAAAAAUAAUUCAUGUGUUAACAACGAUAUUUGUAGAUGUACAAGAAUAGGGGCAUGAAAAUGGUGAAAUGAUUUUUUUCAAUACCCGUAGGACAACACCAAGUGUUAAAUGUUGCAUCCUUCAAAGUAUGUUAGUUUAUUUUCUGUAUAUAUAUUUUGGGGGAGUGGACAUCACAUAUAGAAAAUGUUUUCUAAAUGAUAAAAAAUAUGUCUAAUGAACAACCAAAGAAAACUUUUACAUGUAUUUAUAUUCUGAACUUUAUUUAUAGUUGAUGUAUUACAUAUGUGAUAAAAAAAUAAAAUUAUUUUUACCAUUUAUUGUCAACCUUUUAUACUAUUGACACUUAUUGUCAAAUUUAAUGUAGACAUAAGAUCUAUUAAGAUAAAAUGAUAAGGCGAUUACAUUAUAUGUUUAAAAAAUAAUCUUGCAUUGGUUAGUGAAAUGGAGAAAUAUUUUACAUCUUACUCUAUGAAAAAAAAAUUAAGGAUUUCUUUAUGGAAUAUGAAGUUUGAAGCAUAUGGUCAAAGGAGAAUGUUAACGGUGGUAUGUACUAAUACAACAUUCGAAUUGAUGAUUAGUUUGCUGCAUUUGGUAUUUUCUUAAAAUGAACAUAUUUUUACUUUAGUCAAACAUCUAUUAAUUGAAAAUGAUAAUUGUUAACUGCAAGUAAUAACAACUUAUUAUUGGCGCCGAAAACUAUUAACCGUUAUCGUUGAAAAAAAAUAUUUACUUUCACCGGAUGGAAACAAAUCACCAAAAGAAAACUAUUUGCCGAUCAAACAAGUCAAAAUUCAGGAAUUUGAAAAAAUAAUACAGAAAUGGAUUUAUCAGCGUUUAAGGAUUAUAAGAACUAAAUAAUUAUUAAUAUUAUGUAACUCGGUUAACAAAUAAUGAUUUUUAUGGAUUGAUUUGAUAGCCGCAAGGAUUCUAUUCACAUAAAUGAAUGAAUUGCCGUCUAGAAACAA